AGAAAGAAAAAAAAGCAAAACAAACCAUUCCCAUUCUCUCUCUCUUUCUUUUAAUGAACAUACAUACUGAUUUAGAGCCAUCACUGAAUUGGGUUUCAAAUUCAUAAAAAUUGUGCAAAACUCAGGAAAGCCCUGGAAAAUGGACAAAUCUGCCCUUUAAAUGACUUUCACCAGGAACCUCCAAUCUUACUAAUCAAACUAUAAAGUACAUACUUCACCUGAAAAAUAUGAGGAUAAACAAGGAGCACUGCAAAUGAAAUAAGUGUGGAAGCAGCUUUCAGGCUGAAGAUAAGAUCUAAGCUGGAAGUCCAGUCUGAGCACCAUGAGUCUAUCAAAUCCCUGGGAAAAGAUGCCUGCAUAAACUUCAGCCUGUUCAGCCUGCACUGUUAAUUCACAAGAUCCUGAUAGCAUGUGGUAGAUGUCCUUCUGAGGUGCUUUACUAGGAAUGUUAUUUGCAGUAAUAUGAUAACUAUAACCUGAGAAAAUUGUGGUUUUCAUUAAUUUAUGUGUUCUGUCUCCCAUUACCUCUUUUCUUACUUGGAAUCUAAAUUUUACUGUUAAUUGUUGAGAUUUUUACAACUUUGCUUUAUACUUACAUGGCAAUGUACAGCUAGAGUGAGAUGCAAAUUUACAAAGCUUUUAAACAUUGCCUUCAUUCUAAACUGCAAAAAGAGUUUAGUGCUGAAGUCCUUAUCUGACUCUAAAUUCACCUCUUCCUCAGAAUGAGACACUCCUGUUCUUCUGAAAUACAUGUUACCUGGGUAACACUGUCCCCUUUACUGUCUUCCUAAUUUCAUAACGUCUAGGUGUUGCAAUACAACAAAUAUAUUCAAACUUUGUCUAAUGUGCAACAAUGAAAAGAAGGCUCUUAUAAUAAGUUGUCACCAAGGGCUCCUCUCUAAUCCUGGGAGUUUUAAAGAAAAUAAUUUCCCUGGAGAACCUGGGAAAAUAAAACAAAUAGGAACAAAAAUGUAAUGGAAAUUCCCUUAUAUGAUGGUGUUUUAAAGACUGACAUGUCAUAUAGUUGGUAUGGCAGAAUUGCCACUGGAAAACCCUAGAAAUGAAUGAGCAAUCCCACCCACAACUUUUCCCCCUCUUCUGGUUAGUGGAGGUGCUACUGAAGAACAGCUGCAUCAGCACAUAGAACCAAAAGACGGGAUAUCAAAUUCUGCACCUGGUUUUAUCACAUAGUAGCUGUAUAGCACCUGCCACAAAUUAAAAAUUCUUCUAGUUACGUUUCCAUGUCUGUAAAGAGGGGACUAUAAUAUUUCACUUGAAAAGAGUGAUAUCAGUUGCCACACUUAGAUUCAAAUUACAGAGUCAGUGUUACAGUAAAGGAAUAGUGUCCUACCAUCCAUUUUAAUAAGUAUGAGUAGAAAAAGUUUAAACUGGAAUCACAUCUCCACAGGACAAUCUGGUGUUUAUUACACAUAACUGCUAACAUCGCAAUGUGUGAGGGAUGCGUGUGGAUAUCAACGCAUCUGUAAAAGUUCAGCAGGUUGGAUCCUUCUUCCUUGGCAACAUUUUUGAACAACUUUUAUUGAAUGCAAUAUGCUCUGUUUGAAUAGUAAAAGCUAACUGCUGCCAGGAAAUAAAUUCAAGAUGAAAGUCUUUAUUAUUGCUGUUCCAGGAAGAAAGACUGAGCUUCUUCUGGGCAGAACUGCAUGAAGAGCACUGCAGGUAUCAUUCAGUUGUGCUCUGCU